rnacentral:rRNA from 1 species
AGGGGUGCAGCAGGCGCGAAACCUCCACAAUUCACGCAAGUGAGAUGGGGUUACCUCGAGUGCCGUCUGAAGAAGGCGGCUUUUCCAUGGUGUAACAAGCCGUAGGAAUAAGGGGGGGGCAAGACUGGUGUCAGCCGCCGCGGUAACACCAGCCCCCCGAGUGGUGGGGAUGAUUAUUUGGCCUAAAGCGUCCGUAGCCGGCUUUGUAAAUCUCUCGUUAAAUCCAGCGUCCUAAGCGUUGGGCUGCGAGAGACACUGCAGAGCUAGAGGGUGGGAGAGGUCAGCGGUAUUCCUGGGGUAGGGGCGAAAUCCAUUGAUCCCAGGAGGACCACCAGUGGCGAAGGCUGCUGUCCAGAACACGCCUGACGGUCAGGGACGAAAGCUGGGGUAGCGAAUCGGAUUAGAUACCCGAGUAGUCCCAGCCGUAAACGAUGCAGGCUAGGUGUUGGGUCGGCCACGCGCCGCCUCAGUGCCACAGGGAAGCCAUUAAGCCUGCCGCCUGGGGAGUACGGCCGCAAGGCUGAAACUUAAAGGAAUUGGCGGGGGAGCACCACCAGGCGUGAAGCCUGCGGUUUAAUUGGAGUCAACGCCGGGAACCUUACCGGGAGCGACAGCAGAGUGAAGGCCAGGCUGAAGGUCUUGCCAGACGAGCUGAGAGGAGGUGCAUGGCCGUCGCCAGUUCGUGCCGUGAGGUGUCCUCUUAAGUGAGGUAACGAACGAGACCCGCGCCCCAUGUUGCCAGCAAAUCCUAAAGGGAUGUUGGGCACUCUUGGGG